CAAAAAACAUCGCUCUACAUAAAUAGGAGGAAAAAAAGACUAAGCAAUGUUCUCCACAGACACUGUCCGUCCGCAUACACCUACUGCUUUGAUAUGGAACUGGCAGGCUGGGAUGUGACCUGAGCCUUCUGCUGUGGGGGGAUGAUGGAAAUCAAUUCUCAACAGAGAUGCUCCAUAAGCUAGCUUGGACCCCCUGCAGAAAGAGAGAGAGAGAGAGAGCGAGAGAGAGAGAGAGAGAGAGCAGUCUGGACCAUGACUAGGCCAAGGAAGAGUCUUCUUGUGGGCCAGAGCGAAGAUCCAGGUGAUGACAGGCAUGAUAUCAGCUCAGAGGAAGUGCUGACGGAUCCUGAGCUGGUCAGACAUGAGGGCUUUCAGGAUGAGGGUGAAGGCAAGUGCGAUAGACCACCUGUUCUGGACAACUCUCACGACACUGGCAGAUUUACUAUAAAAUAGUGUCACA
ensembl:lncRNA